UACGUAGGGUGCAAGCGUUGUCCGGAAUUAUUGGGCGUAAAGAGCUCGUAGGCGGUUUGUCGCGUCUGCUGUGAAAACUCGGGGCUUAACCCCGGGCCUGCAGUGGGUACGGGCAGACUAGAGUGCGGUAGGGGAGACUGGAAUUCCUGGUGUAGCGGUGAAAUGCGCAGAUAUCAGGAGGAACACCGGUGGCGAAGCCGGGUCUCUGGGCCGUAACUGACGCUGAGGAGCGAAAGCAUGGGGAGCGAACAGG
rnacentral:rRNA from 1 species